GCAGAAGAGGAAGAAGAAGAAGAACCUCGAGAUAGAUCCGAAUUUCGCGAAUUGGAAGAUGGGAAGAGCUUGGAUGAUGCCAUAUUGAUCGACAAAAUAGGCAAGGAAUUCGCAGAGAUUCUCUCGAAACUGGAGUGGGAAUCUUUAUAGUGAUACAAAAGAAUUUGUAUGAGAGCGGCGAGGUUUUGUGGUUUUCUUCCGUUGGUGGGUGAGAACUGGGAGUUG
rnacentral:misc_RNA from 1 species